CCUACGGGUGGCAGCAGUGGGGAAUAUUGGACAAUGGGGGGAACCCUGAACCAGCGACGCCGCGUGAGUGAAGAAGUAUUUCGGUAUGUAAAGCUCUAUCAGCCGGGAAGCAAAUGACGGUACCUGACUAAGAAGCCCCGGCUAACUACGUGCCAGCAGCCGCGGUAAUACGUAGGGGGCAAGCGUUAUCCGGAUUUACUGGGUGUAAAGGGGGCGUAGAGCGUGCAGCAGGUCCGAUGGGAAAGGUCGGGGCCCAACCCCGGGACUGCAUUGGAAACUGUUGAACUGGAGUACAGGAGAGGUAAGCGGAAUGCGUGGUGUAGCGGUGAAAUGCGUAGAUAUUAGGAGGAACACCAGUGGCGAAGGCGGCUUACUGGACUGUAACUGACGUUGAGGCUCGAAAGCGUGGGGAGCGAACAGGAUUAGAUACCCCAGUAGUC
rnacentral:rRNA from 1 species